GUUUCUCUCUCUCCUCACUCUUUCUCUCUCCCCGAUUCUGUCUCCCUAGCUCGCCGACCUAUUCACAUUCUUCCGGCCAUAACUCCUUCAUCCGGUGACGGAUUUUGACGCAUAAGCAAGGAGAAGAAGAGGGCGGUGUUGCUGUUUUCUUGGGUUUUUGGUCGAAACUUGAGUUUCCGGCCACCUCCGGCGACGAUUCUUGUUGGGUCUUGGAGCCCUUGGAUCAUACAACCAUCCGUCAAAGUUUCUUAGUCAGAUUCGAAGUCUGGAGCACGAAUCGAAGUUGAGAAAGAUGUUUGGAUGGUUGAGACGAAGCUACUGCCAAAAUUUGGUGGUCGGAGGUGGAGGUUGCCGGUGCGCGAACAGUGAUUGGUGGUGCGUGAACAAUGAUUUAAUUUCUAUUUUUAGCUAGAUUAAUUUCUUGUGAGUUGUAGAUUUUAUAAAUGUGAUUUUGGUGAAGAUUGGAGGAUUUUUGAAUCGAUUAUGA